ensembl:lncRNA
CAAAGAGCCAGACACAACUUAGCAACUGAAUAACAACAAUAUCUUGAUGACUCAGGCCCUGCCCUUAACCACUGGACCACAUUGCUCCAUUCAUCCUCAUGCCCUACCCUCCAUCAACUGACUGCCUCACUGAAAAGCCUUCUGCCUCUGGAAGACUUGACUCUCUCUGCCAUUGCCUCCCCGAUGGGCUGUCUGCUCAUCUUCCCACUCCCUCUAGAAGUGGCCCUUCCCCAUUGCUGCUGAAAAACCAUGGCUCCUCAAGUCUCCUUUAAAACAAAACUGCCCUCCAGGCCUCCAGUUCGUUAACUAUUGGAUUGGGAAGGGAGGAGCUUUUCCAAUGGCUCAGCAGGUAAAGCAUCUGACUGCAACACAGGAGAUGCAGGAGACUCGGGUUUGAUCCCUGUAUCAGGAAGAUCCCCUGGAGUAGAAAAUGACAACCCGCUCCAGUAUUCUUACCUGAAAAAUUCCAUGGACAGAGGAGCCUGGCAGGCCACAGUCCAUGGGGUCACCCGAGAGUCACUCAAGUCGGACACAAUUGGAACAACUGAGCAUAGCACACAGAGAAGGAGGAUGCUCCAUAACACCUUCUGCUAAAAACCAGAAAUACGGUGGUGAGCAAGACUGACAACCUGGCAUUCCUGGGAAGUGGGGGAGGGUGCCUUUCCAGUGUAGCCACAGGAAGAAGGGACGGGAGAGAGUUCUGAGCUGAAGAUUUCAAAACGGUUGGAACUAUAAUGGAAGGUGAAAUUAAAAGACGCAUCCUUCUUGGAAGAAAAGCUAUGACAAACCUAGACGGUGUAUUAAAAAGCAGAGAUAUUGCUUUGCUGACAAAGGUCCAUAUAGUCAAAGCUAUGGUUUUUCCAGUAGUCAUGUACGUAUGUGAGAGUUGGACCGUGAAGAAGGUUGGUUUCGAAGUGCAAAAGAAUGGUUGCUUUUGAAUUGUGGUGCUGGAGAAAACUCUUGAGAAUCCCUUGAGAGCAAGGAGAUCAAACCAGUCAAUCUUAAAGGAAAUCAACCCUGAAUAUUCAUUGGAAGGACUGAUGCUUAAACUGAAGCUCUAAUAUUUUGGCCACCUGAAGCAAAGAGCUGACUCAUUGGAAAAGACCUUGGUGCUGGGUAUGGCAUGAAGUCACUUUAAGAUCUGGCCCUCUCUUGGACUUCCCUGGUGAUCCAGUGGUUAAGAGUCCACCUUGCAAUGCAGGAAAUAAGGGUUUGAUCUCUGGUCAGGGAACCAAGAUCCUACACGCUGUGGAGCAACUAAACCCACACCCUGAAACUAUUAAGCCAGGGCACCACAGCCAGAGAGAGUUCGAAAGAUCCCUCAUGACACAUGAAGAUCCUAUGUACUGCAGCUGCAACCAACACAGCCAAAGAAAUAGAUCUGGUCCUCUGUCCAUAUAUCCAGCUUUUGUUUCUUCAUCUGUUUUGUUCAUGGCUGUGCUGGGUCUUCAUUGCUGCGUGGCAUGUGGGAUCUUCCUGGACCAGAGAUCGAACCUGUGUCUCCUUCACUGGCAGGUGGAUUCUUCACCACUGAGCCACGAGGGAAGCCCAGAUUGAUCUGUUUUUGUUGCUUUUAUCUUGUCGAUAAGUCAUGUCCAGUUCUUUGCAACCCCUUGAACUGUAGCCAGCCAGAUUCCUCUGUGCGUGGGAUUUCCCAGGCAAGAAUACUGGAGUGGAUUGCCAUUUCCUAUUUUGGAGGAUCUCCCCAACCCAGGGAUGGAACUUGAGUCUCUUAUUUGGCAGGCAGAUUCUUUAACACUGUGACACCUGUCGGCACUGCGACACUGGGAAGCCCUAUCCAGUUUUUUUAAGAUUUCCUCCGCAGCUCUUUGCACAGACUCUCUGCAUGGAAUGUCUUCUGCUAAGUGUCCCAUUUACUUUCUCAAUGCCAUUUACUUAGUUCAAAGCCAGGCUCAGUCACCUCACAAAUAAAGACAUGGAAAUGUCAAUAACCAUAUGAAAAGGCAGUAACCCUAGUAGCAUCAACAGCACAACAAAGAGAUACCAUUUUGCCUAUCAGCUUGAGGAAAAUGUUUUAAAUUGAUAACAUUCAGAACUGGCACAGAUGCAGAGAACUGGGCUUUUUCAUACAUUUCUCUUGGGAGACUGAAUUAAAGAAAGCUUUUGGAAAACUCUGGUAGUGCCUCUUAAAAUUUAAAAUACAUGUGCUCGUUGACCCUUGUAAUCCUUUUGAGACUCUGUUCAGUCAAAUUAAAAGCCCUGCUAAUUAAGGUCAAGAUGUUCAUGCAAUAUUUUAUCAUGGCUCCAACCGGGAAACACUGUGUGUUUGUGGAUAGAGAAUGUUUGAGGAAUUAUGGUUCACUCUUAUUGACGAGGAAUAGGUUAGAUCUACCAGGGCUGAUCUCAGUGUAUGACAAUCACACAUGACACAGUGCCAAGUAGAUACCCAUUUGUGUGACCACAGAGAGAAAGUAUAGAAGGAAUUCACAAAACCAUGAUUCCACUGGGGAGAGGGA